rnacentral:lncRNA from 1 species
UGGUAUUAUUAAGCAUGUUAAAUAAAAUGUUAUGUGGCCAGAUCUGUAGCAAGUAUAUGCACAAAUGAUCUCUUUCUAUUAAUUCAGUACCUCUUGUGAAGUAGAUAGUCUUAUACCCAUUUAGUAGAUGUGGAUACCGAGGGUCACAGAAGUUAAGAAACUUGCACAGUAUUACAGUCAGUAAGUGGCAGAGCCAGGAUUAUGGACCUCAGUCUGGCCAUGCUUAUAAUCACUGUUAUAAAUACUUUGCCAUAGCAUCUUAUCUAGUUUGGAUUUUUUUUUUUAGACUUUUGGUUGCAAUUUCAGUCUUGUGCCUCAAGUAGAAUUUUUAAAAAUAAAUUUAGAAAUUAAAUAAUAUUAAGAGGAAGGUGACAAUGUAACAGAAAAUGUGGAAUGUGCAAAGUGCCAGAUAUCUCCUUUUACUUGCCAAAGAUGCCUUGACACUAAAAUCCUAUUUAUGUGUAUACGCACUACUAUGUAUAAAAUAGAUAACCAACAAGGGCCUACUGUAUAGCACAAACUAUACUCAAUAGUUGGUAAUAAUUUAUAAUGAAUAUAAUCUGAAAAAUAAUAUAUAUACAUAUGUAUAGCUGAAUUACUUUGUUGUACACCUGAAACUAACACAGCUUUGUCAAUGGACUAUACUUCAAAAAAAAUCCUGUUUACAUACAUCAGUUUUGGUCAUGAGAAAUGAAGCUAAAUGAAAACCAUAGUGGUGAAAUCUCAUCCAUUUAAUAAGUAAACACUUCAUUAAACCAAUCUUAUUGCUGGGUUCAAGGGGAAUAAAUCCAGAUGGACUUAAAAUAUUUGAGUUAUAAAUUUUUUUUAUUUUUUCUUUCUUUUUUGUUUAUUUUUUGCUUUUUUAGGGCCACACCCUUGGCACAUGGAGGUUCCCAGGCUAGUGGUUGAAUUGGAGCUACGGCUGCAGGCCUAUGCCAUGGCCACAACAACGCAGGAUCCUAGCUGUGUCUGAGAUCUACACCACAGCUUAGGGCAACGCCAGAUCUUCAACCCACUGAGCAGGACCAGAGAUCGAACCUGCAACCCCAUGGUUACUAGUCAGAUUCUGCUGCACCCCACAACAGGAACUCCUUGAUUUAUUUUUCAGAGAAGUAUAGUUUUACUUAGGUAAAUAGUAUUUUCAUAGCAAAUGCUAUUAUUUAUAGCUCCUGCUGUGCAAUUAUAUGAUAAUAAUGUUUAUCUCUCACUUGUUCCUUACCCCUGCUGAAGGAUAUGGAAUUGUAAUGGAAUAGAUUGCUUAUACAUAGCCUCCAGUCAUUGCUCAUUGUUAAUUUCUUUGGAAAGACAAUAAUGAUAGAAUGAUCCUAAAUUCUGGACUCAAGGAUGUAUAUUACUGAGGUUUUAUAAUCCUUCAUUUCUCUGGAUUUUCCAUACUACUUUAAAAAAAAUUUUAAUAAUAUAUUUUAUUUAACCCAAUAUCUCCAAAAUAUUAUUACUUUAACAUGUGAUCAACAUAAAAAUUAUUAAUGAAUAGUUUACAUUUUUGUACUAAAUCUAGUGUGAACUUAAUCUUAUAGUACAUCUUUAUUUGGAUUAGCAUUCAUUUUUUAAAAGUUUAAAAAUUUUAUGAUUUUUUAAAAAGUGAAGUGUGGUUGAUUUACAGCUUAUGUUUCAGGUGUACAGCAAAGUUAUUCAGAGUAUUUUCCAUUAUAGGUUAUUAUAAGAUAUUGAAUUGGGUUCCCUGUGCUAUACAGUAGGUCCUUGUUUAUUUUCUAUAUAGUGGUGUGUGUCUGUUAAUCUUAAACUCCGAAUUUAUUCUUUCCUCCUCUCCCUUUCCCCUUUGGUAACCAUAAGUUUGUUUUCUAUGCCUGUGAAUCUAUUUCUGUUUUGUAAACAAGAUCAUUUGUAUCCUUUUUUUUUUAGAUUCCACAUAUAAGUGGUAUCAUAAAUAGUGUUUGUCUUUCUAUGUCUUACUCUCCACUUAGUAAUCUAACAAUGCUGCAAAUGACAUUAUUUCAUUCUUUGUUAUAGCUGAGUAACAUUCCAUUGUCUAUAUGUACCACAUCUUCUUUACCUGUUCAUCUGUUGAUAGACAUUUAGAUUGGUUCCAUGUCUUGUCUAUUAUAAAUGGUGCUGCUAUGAACACUGAGGUGCAUGUAUCUUUUCAAAUUAGAGUUUUCAUCUUUUCUUGGAUAUAUGUCCAGGAAUGAGAUUGCUAAAAUGUAUGGUAUAUCUAGUUUUUCAGGAACCUCCAUACUGUUCUUCAUAGUUCUUCAUCAAGUUACAUUCCCGCCAACAGUGUAGGAGGGUUCCCUUUUCUCCAGACUCUCUCCAGCGUUUCUUAUUUGUCAACUUUUUGCUGAUGGCCAUUUUGAAUGGUGAUAUCUCACUGUAGUUUUGAUUUGCAUUUCUCUAAUAAUUAGCAAUAUUGAGCAUCUUUUCAGGUGCUUGUUGACCAUCUGUCCCUACAACUUUUGAUCAUUGUCACCAACAAGCAACAAAAUGCUAAACUUGUCCCUUUGUUUUGCACAUGCUAACAAGUCAAUAAACAACAACAGCAAACAAACAAAAACCCCCUUGGGGUCAGUUCUUUGGGAUAAGAUUUUGGACAAAGUGGCCUGCAGUCAUCCAUAGCCUGGAUAAUUUGCCCCUGGACUCUAGAUUCUGUUCUGAAUGUACUUUUCAAAGUGUUCAGUUUGUUUUCUUCUACUCUGUCCAGUGAAGGAAACUCAGACUAUUGUUUAACAGUUUCUGCCUGGAACUAAGCUCAAAUGACCCAGGCUUUUCUGUCUUUUAUCCUGUACAUCAGAAUCAUAAUGCACCUCCACAAAAUGUUUGAGAGCUGUAAUUCAUCCUGGGGAGCUUAGGAUCAGUCACUUUAUGUGUAUGGUGGCAAGUGCGUCAGCCAAAAUUGAUAGGCAGCCUUCCAUGUCAGGAGCUUCCUUGCUGAAGAUGAGCUGUUGUUGCAUACACCUAAGUCCCAUCCCUAGGGACAGGUCAGUGCCAAGUCCAGACUCAUGGACAGAUAAUUAUUCUCAUAGUAAAGUAACUUCAAAGAAAGAAUGGAAUUCUGUGGCAGUGAGAUCACGGUAGAUCUGAGCGCAACUUUUGCCAUGUUUCAUUAGUUUUUCCCUGGAACCAUCCAGGAAGUGGCAUGCAUAAGGCUUUCUGGCUCACAGAUUUACUGUGCUUCUG